rnacentral:rRNA from 1 species
UACGUAGGGGGCAAGCGUUGUCCGGAAUCAUUGGGCGUAAAGAGCGUGUAGGCGGCCCAAUAAGUCCGCUGUGAAAGUCCAGGGCUCAACCCUGGGAUGCCGGUGGAUACUGUCGGGCUCGAGUCCGGAAGAGGAGUGUGGAAUUCCUGGUGUAGCGGUGAAAUGCGUAGAGAUCGGGAGGAACACCAGAGGCGAAGGCGGCGACCUGGACAGAUACUGACACUCAACUACGAAAGCGUGGGGAGCAAACAGG